AAUAGAUACCCGGGUAGUCCACGCCGUAAACGAUGAGUGCUAAGUGUUGGAGGGUUUCCGCCCUUCAGUGCUGCAGCUAACGCAUUAAGCACUCCGCCUGGGGAGUACGGUCGCAAGACUGAAACUCAAAGGAAUUGACGGGGGCCCGCACAAGCGGUGGAGCAUGUGGUUUAAUUCGAAGCAACGCGAAGAACCUUACCAGGUCUUGACAUCUCCUGACCGCCCUGGAGACAGGGUCUUCCCUUCGGGGACAGGAUGACAGGUGGUGCAUGGUUGUCGUCAGCUCGUGUCGUGAGAUGUUGGGUUAAGUCCCGCAACGAGCGCAACCCUUGGUUCUAGUUGCCAGCAUUGAGUUGGGCACUCUAGAGCGACUGCCGGCGACAAGUCGGAGGAAGGUGGGGAUGACGUCAAAUCAUCAUGCCCCUUAUGACCUGGGCUACACACGUGCUACAAUGGAUGGUACAAAGGGCAGCAAAGCGGCGACGCAUGAGCGAAUCCCAGAAAACCAUUCUCAGUUCGG
rnacentral:rRNA from 1 species